rnacentral:rRNA from 1 species
ACACGUAGGGGCCUGACGUUGUUCGGAAUCAUUGGGCGUAAAGGGCGCGCAGGCGGCCGUCCAAGUCCGGUGUUAAAUGGUCGGGCUCAACCCGAUCAUGCGCUGGAAACUGGGCGGCUUGAGUCCCGUAGGGGAUGCCGGAAUUCCAGGUGUAGGGGUGAAAUCUGUAGAUAUCUGGAAGAACACCGAUGGCGAAGGCAGGCAUCUGGCCGGAGACUGACGCUGAGGCGCGAAGGGGCGGGGAGCGAACAGGUUUAGAUACCCUGGUAGUCCGCGCAGUAAACGAUGCGCACCAGGUGUCGGGCGGCAGCGCCCGGUACCGGAGCUAACGCGAUGAGUGCGCCGCCUGGGGAGUAUGCCCGCAAGGGUGAAACUAAAAGGAAUUGACGGGGG